CAAGGAAUUUUCCGCAAUGGGCGCAAGCCUGACGGAGCAACGCCGCGUGCGGGAUGACGCUUUUCGGAGUGUAAACCGCUGUUCGUGGGGACGAAGCACUGACGGUACCCACGGAGGAAGGCCCGGCUAACUACGUGCCAGCAGCCGCGGUAAUACGUAGGGGUCGAGCGUUGUCCGGAGUUACUGGGCGUAAAGCGCGUGCAGGUGGCUCAUUACGCCCGGCGUGAAAGCCCCCGGCUCAACCGGGGAGGGUCGUCGGGGACGGGUGAGCUUGAGGGUCGCAGGGGCUGGUAGAAUUCCCGGUGUAGUGGUGAAAUGCGUAGAGAUCGGGAGGAAUACCCGUGGCGAAGGCGGCCAGCUGGGCGACACCUGACACUGAGACGCGAAGGCGUGGGGAGCGAACGGG
rnacentral:rRNA from 1 species